GGCUCGGUGGUGUAGUUGGUCCAUCACGUCAGUCUAACACAACAUCGUUACGAUGGUUAGCACACUGAAGGUCCCGAGUUCAAGCCUCGGCUGAGUCA